UACGAAGGGGGCUAGCGUUGUUCGGAUUUACUGGGCGUAAAGGGCGCGUAGGCGGAUUUUUAAGUCAGGGGUGAAAUCCCAAGGCUCAACCUUGGAACUGCCUUUGAUACUGGGAAUCUUGAGUCCGGGAGAGGUGAGUGGAACUGCGAGUGUAGAGGUGAAAUUCGUAGAUAUUCGCAAGAACACCAGUGGCGAAGGCGGCUCACUGGCCCGGAACUGACGCUGAGGCGCGAAAGCGUGGGGAGCAAACAGG
rnacentral:rRNA from 1 species